CAGUUUGAAUCACAUUUGUAUUUAUGCUUUUGGAUGCAUCAUUCCAAGUGCUGAGUUUCUGUAAUGGUAUUAUGUCUGUGUGUCUGUCUGCUGGCUUUGGAAAAUGCUCACAGCUUUUUUUCUGCAGCUGCUAUUCUAGCACUAGUUAGUACAGGAUUUACAUCUGAUGUCAUACAGUAUGUGCAGUCUGAAAUCUGGAUUUCGCUUCAUUUGCAUGAGUCACAGUAUAAUUGCUAAUAAACUCUCCCUCCAUCCUUUUAAAAGUAUCUUAAACUAUUUUUUAUUUGCUUCCCUGUUCUGUUUUGCUGGGUAAUUCACUUCGCUGUCAGACUCAUGUUGUCCCCAUGACCUAUUUGUUUUAUCCACUCCAUUCAACCUGAACCAUUGUUUUGCUGUGAUGAAAGGGUGUUGCUUUACCUCAGUUUCCCUUGUGGUAUGGCAUGUAAGGCCAGAGGUCUUUGGAGAAGGAAGUGCCACAGUCAUUAAAGGUUGACAGCUCAUAGAAGCCACUGUAUUUUUCCAGUUAACUCCUCUCAUCCUGUCCCUUGUAUCAAGAUCACUCCUAAUAAGGAAUUGCAUACAGCAGGAUACAUAAUACAAUAAGCAUUCUGGGAAAAAGGGUGCCUCCUGGCCUCAUUCUCUAUACAGAUAUAUUUAAUACACAUUUCAAAAUAUAUUAUUAUUAAAAAAAGCUUGGAAAAAGCAAAUCUGUAAAAUCUGUACACAUGUGCUUUCCAGAGGAAAGUGAAUUUCCCAUUUAGAUUAUAAUUAGAACUUUGGAAACACUUGUGUGAUUCUUAAAGUUGUGUUGAGAUAUACUUCUAACACUAAGGCAGUAUUAUGUAUGGGAGAAGUUAUCUUUAUUUUAUUUUAUGUUUGCACUUGGGUCAGGAGAGAUCCCAAGGCAUAGCUAACUGAAUUUUGGUAAGUUAAGUCAGACAGCUGGGGCAGUGGCUAGGUAGACCUGAGAUCACAAACAUGUAGUGUGGGUGUCCUGGGAACACCUGUCCCAUGCAUCCAUAUGUGAUGAGCUCCACUCUGUCAUCUAGAAAGGGCUUCUCCCAUAUUCCUGGGGAAGUUGGUAAUGUGACAUCUGACUGGACCCUGUUCGAGACCUCAGUAGUUGAUGUAGCAAAAAGAAGCUGUGACCAAAAGGUGGCCAUCGCUUGUCAUGUCAGUAACCAUAAAGAGCUGCUGGUGGACAUUAAAGGUACAGUAAACUGUAAGAUUAAAAAAGGAGGGUUUCUGUGUAGUGCUACUGGGGUUCUCCUGAUCUAACUAACGGGUACAAACAUGCCCAGAAAGCAACAACUGCAACAGUGGCCAAAGUAGAAGCCCAGUUAUGGGAAGAGUUUGUUGAGGUCAUGGAGGAUGACUUUCAGAUGGCCUCAGAGGUUUUGGCAUACUAUCCAAUGAUUUGAGGGAAGAAAGAGAAUGUUGCGGAGGAUCUCUUCAACAUGGGUGAAAAAAUGUUUGUCUUGAUUGGAAAUAUUGUUAGAAGGUGGAAGGGAUUCUCCGAGAAAUUCCUAAAUCCAGUGCACACGCCUUCCUGUGAAGAGAAAGUGUUGGAUAUGGAUGCAGCAAUGGAAUCCAGGUGGAACUGAAUCAUUUUGGCAUUUGAGAUCACUAUAAUGAUGAAACAUUUCCAGUAUAAUGAAGCUGCAGGAAUGGAUGAGAUCCAGCAGGAAAUGCUGGAGGUGUGGGAUAUUGUUUGAAUGCCAUGGUUAGCAUCCCUUUUCAUAUGGAAGGCUUUUGAGAUAGUACCUCCAAACUCUGAAACUCUGAGCACAGUGCAGUUUGAGAACAAACAGCAGUAGUUAAGAAAAACAUUAAAACGGUACUGGCUCUUUUUUGUGACACUGUAGCCUCUGAAAAAGUGUAAUACAGUUAAAGCAAGCUAAACAUGUUGCAUCAAUCUGUAAUGAGCAAGCAACCACAAGUAAAUACCACAGUCAAGGGAGUAAUAAACAGAAAACAAAUGAGCAAUACACCUUCACAUAUGUGAAGGAAAGCCAUUAUCACAUGGCUCAGGAAAUGUAGUAGUUUACAGAUUGUCAUAGAAACACUGUGUAUCCAGCAUAUAAUCCAGCAGAAAUUUUCAGCCAACAGAUGUCAUGGUGCACAAACCUGUAACUUUUUAGCAUGGUACCCUCUAUAAUGCCUCAUAAAUAACAUGCAAAGUAAACAAAGUUGCAGAGUGCUUUGUUGAUCUAGCUAGUCAUAACUGAUUGAGUAUGACAGAAGGUUACUUCAAUUAUGUGUUAUAAUUUUGCUUUUUAAAAGUUCUGUAAAUACCAUAUUUAGUUAUUGUAAAGAGCAGUUCUGCCCAGAUGGCAAGUUUUCCUCCAAACGAAGUGCUUUUCCUUCCAUUUAAUCUAACCCCAAGAAUGUCAAAUGCAGAGUAACCAUGAUUUGAGCACUAUUUUAUUUCUUUGCUGCAUUAAACUGUUUCUCAGUUUUUUUGGCAUAUACUUGGCUUUUUAUGAAACCUUGCAUUAUUUCCUCUUGUUUGUCAUGUUAUCUGUGGUGUUAUGCGUGUACUUUGAAUAAAUAAGGGGUAGCUGCAGUUUAGACUUUUAUAACAUUAAGGAAAAAAGUUUAUAAUUAGUUAGGUCACUUAUUCUAUCUACAGGGUCAAAAAAUCUUAAACCUAGGUCUAGGCUACAAAUUCAGGCUUUUUUAUGACUGUGUUAUUAGGUACAGGUGGUCAGCUUCAUAAUUCAGCUAGUAAAUGUGGCUUGGGACUACAGUUCUCAGUAUGAACACAAACACUGAAUAAACUAUUGACUCAAAUCUAAAAUUCAAAAGUAUCUUAAAAUGUCAUUGUCUCUGCAGUUAGCAAACUCACCUUCAGUAUAAGGAAGAUUGUUGUGGGUUUUAGCCCCACCCUUUUAAUGUAGAUUCAUAUCUCUGUGUUGACAUUUAAAUCCAGAACUCUUGUGAUGUCAUCCUUUGGAGGAGACAUUGAGAAUACUUACCUACAACUGUUGAUGGUAGCUCAGAUAGAUGUAAAAGAGCCCAUGACACUUGCCAA